rnacentral:rRNA from 1 species
CGGUGAAGCCCAGCUUGCUGGGUGGAUCAGUGGCGAACGGGUGAGUAACACGUGAGCAAUCUGCCCCUGACUCUGGGAUAAGCGCUGGAAACGGCGUCUAAUACUGGAUACGAACCGUGGAGGCAUCUUCAACGGUUGGAAAGAUUUUUUGGUCAGGGAUGAGCUCGCGGCCUAUCAGCUUGUUGGUGAGGUAAUGGCUCACCAAGGCGUCGACGGGUAGCCGGCCUGAGAGGGUGACCGGCCACACUGGGACUGAGACACGGCCCAGACUCCUACGGGAGGCAGCAGUGGGGAAUAUUGCACAAUGGGCGAAAGCCUGAUGCAGCAACGCCGCGUGAGGGAUGACGGCCUUCGGGUUGUAAACCUCUUUUAGCAGGGAAGAAGCGAAAGUGACGGUACCUGCAGAAAAAGCGCCGGCUAACUACGUGCCAGCAGCCGCGGUAAUACGUAGGGCGCAAGCGUUAUCCGGAAUUAUUGGGCGUAAAGAGCUCGUAGGCGGUUUGUCGCGUCUGCUGUGAAAUCCCGAGGCUCAACUUCGGGUCUGCAGUGGGUACGGGCAGACUAGAGUGCGGUAGGGGAGAUUGGAAUUCCUGGUGUAGCGGUGGAAUGCGCAGAUAUCAGGAGGAACACCGAUGGCGAAGGCAGAUCUCUGGGCCGUAACUGACGCUGAGGAGCGAAAGGGUGGGGAGCAAACAGGCUUAGAUACCCUGGUAGUCCACCCCGUAAACGUUGGGAACUAGUUGUGGGGUCCAUUCCACGGAUUCCGUGACGCAGCUAACGCAUUAAGUUCCCCGCCUGGGGAGUACGGCCGCAAGGCUAAAACUCAAAGGAAUUGACGGGGACCCGCACAAGCGGCGGAGCAUGCGGAUUAAUUCGAUGCAACGCGAAGAACCUUACCAAGGCUUGACAUAUACGAGAACGCUGCAGAAAUGUAGAACUCUUUGGACACUCGUAAACAGGUGGUGCAUGGUUGUCGUCAGCUCGUGUCGUGAGAUGUUGGGUUAAGUCCCGCAACGAGCGCAACCCUCGUUCUAUGUUGCCAGCACGUAAUGGUGGGAACUCAUGGGAUACUGCCGGGGUCAACUCGGAGGAAGGUGGGGAUGACGUCAAAUCAUCAUGCCCCUUAUGUCUUGGGCUUCACGCAUGCUACAAUGGCCGGUACAAAGGGCUGCAAUACCGUGAGGUGGAGCGAAUCCCAAAAAGCCGGUCCCAGUUCGGAUUGAGGUCUGCAACUCGACCUCAUGAAGUCGGAGUCGCUAGUAAUCGCAGAUCAGCAACGCUGCGGUGAAUACGUUCCCGGGUCUUGUACACACCGCCCGUCAAGUCAUGAAAGUCGGUAACACCUGAAGCCGGUGGCCCAACCCUUGUGGAGG